UAGGGAAUAUUGGACAAUGGGCGAAAGCCUGAUCCAGCCAUGCCGCGUGAGUGAUGAAGGCCUUAGGGUUGUAAAGCUCUUUCAGCGGGGAAGAUAAUGACGGUACCCGCAGAAGAAGCCCCGGCUAACUUCGUGCCAGCAGCCGCGGUAAUACGAAGGGGGCUAGCGUUGCUCGGAAUCACUGGGCGUAAAGCGCACGUAGGCGGAUCUUUAAGUCAGGGGUGAAAUCCCGGAGCUCAACUCCGGAACUGCCUUUGAUACUGAGGAUCUCGAGUUCGGGAGAGGUGAGUGGAACUGCGAGUGUAGAGGUGAAAUUCGUAGAUAUUCGCAAGAACACCAGUGGCGAAGGCGGCUCACUGGCCCGAUACUGACGCUGAGGUGCGAAAGCGUGGGGAGCAAACA
rnacentral:rRNA from 1 species